UACGAAGGGGGCUAGCGUUGCUCGGAAUCACUGGGCGUAAAGCGCACGUAGGCGGCUUCUUAAGUCAGGGGUGAAAUCCUGGAGCUCAACUCCAGAACUGCCUUUGAUACUGAGGAGCUUGGAGUCCGGGAGAGGUGAGUGGAACUGCGAGUGUAGAGGUGAAAUUCGUAGAUAUUCGCAAGAACACCAGUGGCAAAGGCGGCUCACUGGCCCGGUACUGACGCUGAGGUGCGAAAGCGUGGGGAGCAAACAGG
rnacentral:rRNA from 1 species